ACCAUUCCCAAUACCGAAACAUGUCAGGAUCAGGAUUAUCGGUAUCAGGAUCGGGAUGAGGUCAAUAUUUUAUACCAUUUGCUCAUGGCCAGUCUAAAGAAUAUUAUAAACAAAAUCACAAUUGUUUAAUUUAUAUACAAAAAUAGUAUUUACCCUUAUCGGUAAACAUCAAACUCACCAUUUAUAACCCUACCCACCACUUCCUUUUCUCGAUACACAUCAAGUCCCCCUCAACCCAUCAGAUCAAAACACAGAGAGAGAGAGAGAGUGAAGAAACAUAGACACUACGACACAGAGAAGCCGGUGAACUUCCGAUCGCCGAGACCACUCCGGCAAGUGCACAUCUUCAACUGCUAAAGUGUGGAAAGCUGCAAAGAAUGGCUGCGGAUGUAAAGAUAUGGAAAAACCAACUACAAAGGCGAGAACACUUGACAACCUCCUAGAAGAUGGCGCGGUGCACAUAAGGAAGUGAUUGAUCAGAACGAUCAAUUGCUUAUGAAUGAAUACAACCCCAGUGGUGGCAGAUAUGUAAUUAGCGAGCUCUGGAAUUUCAAGAAAAUCGAAGAGCUACACUAAAGGGGGUUAUCAGCUACAUUCUGAAGUGCACCAGUCAUCAAAAGAUCCACAAUUUAUUAAACCAGUACACGGUCUUGUUUACGUUGUAUGAUACGGUGUAUGUUACGGUUUUUUGUUAUCGAGUCUGUAAGAUCUGUCAAGAUUAUCAAGUUUAAGUUAGUAA